rnacentral:rRNA from 1 species
GACGAACGCUGGCGGCGUGCUUAACACAUGCAAGUCGAACGGGAAGGCCCUGCUUUUGUGGGGUGCUCGAGUGGCGAAAGGGUGAGUAACACGUGAGUAACCUGCCCUUGACUUUGGGAUAACUUCAGGAAACUGGGGCUAAUACCGGAUAGGAGCUCCUGCUGCAUGGUGGGGGGUGGAAAGGUUCGGCGGUUGGGGAUGGACUCGCGGCUUAUCAGCUUGUUGGUGGGGUAGUGGCUUACCAAGGCUUUGACGGGUAGCCGGCCUGAGAGGGUGACCGGCCACAUUGGGACUGAGAUACGGCCCAGACUCCUACGGGAGGCAGCAGUGGGGAAUAUUGCACAAUGGGCGGAAGCCUGAUGCAGCAACGCCGCGUGCGGGAUGACGGCCUUCGGGUUGUAAACCGCUUUCGCCUGUGACGAAGCGUGAGUGACGGUAAUGGGUAAAGAAGCACCGGCUAACUACGUG